AAACUUUACACUGCGGGAAACCGCGAUAAGGGGACCCCGAGUGCCAGCACCUAGUGUUGGCUGUCCUACUGUCUAAAUAACAGUGGUUAGCAAGGGCCGGGCAAGACCGGUGCCAGCCGCCGCGGUAAUACCCGCAGCCCAAGUGGUGAUCGUUAUUAUUGGGUUUAAAACGUCCGUAGCUGGUCUAGUAAAUUCCUGGGUAAAUCGAAUUGCUUAACAAUUCGAGUUCCGGGUAGACUGCUAGACUUGGGACCGGAAGAGGUCAGAAGUACUU
rnacentral:rRNA from 1 species